UGGGGAAUAUUGGGCAAUGGGCGAAAGCCUGACCCAGCAACGCCGCGUGAGGGAAGAAGGGUUUCGGCUCGUAAACCUCUGUCCUAUGGGACGAAGGGAAGUGACGGUACCAUAGGAGGAAGCCCCGGCUAACUACGUGCCAGCAGCCGCGGUAAUACGUAGGGGGCGAGCGUUGUCCGGAAUGAUUGGGCGUAAAGGGGCGCGUAGGCGGCCUGUUAAGUCUGGAGUGAAAGUCCUGCUUUCAAGGUGGGAAUUGCUUUGGAUACUGAUGGGCUGGAGUGCAGGAGAGGAAAGCGGAAUUACCGGUGUAGCGGUGAAAUGCGUAGAGAUCGGUAGGAACACCAGUGGCGAAGGCGGCUUUCUGGACUGAAACUGACGCUGAGGCGCGAAAGCGUGGGGAGCAAACAGGAUUAGAUACCC
rnacentral:rRNA from 1 species